AUAAAAUUAACACAAUUCAAAAUAUUCCGUCAGAUGAAAGAUGGAAACAUGCGGAAGCUAGUAUUAAAAUUCAUACAUCU